AUGACAAAAGAAGAGGGCCAAGAGAUAUCGAUAACCCUACUCAAAAUCUUACUCUUAGUGCCAGCAGAGCAAAGCUGAGGGGAAAAAAUUCCUUUGCCUCUAAAAGGCUCAGACUGGGUAACAGCACGUUGUGUCUCUCAGAUGGAAUAUUUGUGUUAUAAUUGGAUGCCCGGAACAAGACAUUCUUCUGACUGCAACUCAGGUGGAACAUUUUGUACACUUCAGAGAUUUAUAAGGGUUUUUUCCUGGUCCUGCUUGCUGUCCUUAGGGAAGUGUUCAAUCUGGGCCUAGCAGCAGUCAGUCUGGAAAGAGCCAUCCUAGAACAAGGGCAUCCACCUUGGGAGACUCCACUGAUCCAUCGCUGCUCAGAAGUUUGUCCUGAUAUGAUCUUUGUGGAUUAUUUACUGAGUGCUGACAACAUGUUCGGUUCAGUAUGAAAUUCAAAUGAAGAGCUGGUCAGUCUGGUGGUGAGGACACCACACUAGUAGUCAGGAGGCCUGAGAUCCAUUCCCAGCUCUGUCUCUGACUUGCUGUGUGACCUCGGAGAUGAGUUCACUUCCCGACUCAGUGCCUCAGUUUCCCCAACUGUAAACUUAGUGAAAUGAUACUUAGUCACCUUUGCAAGGUGUUUUGAGAUCUAGCUGUGAAAAUCCUGAUAAAGGAACCAUUCUUACUUACACAUAACAGUCAGGCUAAAUUUUCCUAUUACGUUAAUCCCAUAAGUGUGAGUUACAGCCUCUAUUAGUCCCUGUAAUAAUUCCUUGCCUUCCUUUUUAUUUUGCACUCUUUGGUCUAUUUGCACAUAGUGUGGAUCAAAAAUAUAUAGAUAUUAUUCAUUAUAAUUGAAUUAUUCUGUGCAAUUCAUGCUAUGCUGCUUGAGACAAUGAAUAGUCCCCUGUAUGAACAGGUGGGUGCAAUCGUUUAAUAAAGCUUGGUGAAUGCCUGGAAAAAAUCUUGAGCAAAAUUAAAGUUGUAUAAGGUUAGCAGGGCAGCUGAAACAUACCCUGUGUUCUAGGCUCAGGCAGUUUCAGCAGGAAUCAUCAUAAGUAUGAAUAUCAAAUCUGAAUACUAAUGUAACAUCCCACCCCAGAAGGCAGGGAAAUAACACCUAGCACUGAUAUGUUGCUUUUUAUCCAUAGAUCUCAAAGUGCUUAUACACAGAAGAGUCAUUAUCCCCAUUACACAGACGAGGAAUCUGAGAUGCAGAGAAAUUAAAGGUCAGAUUUUCCAAAAUGUCCCUGAUUUUCAAAAGCUAGGUUUUAACUGGAGCAUUUUAAAAAUCUGGUCGUUUCUUUGGUCACUGAAAGGGGGAACUGUUGGGUGCUGACUUCUUUUGAAAAUCUUGCCUUGGUGCCCAGUGAUUAAAGAACAGAACCCAGGUCUCCUGAUUUACUGCCUGGACUUUAUUGCCUCUUUGCACAAAUACCAAUAGCUUAGAGCUGAAACAGGGGGGAUCGGUCACAAUUUUGCUAAAAAAGAGGAUGAUUUUUUUGCAACAUCUCCUAGCGUUGGGAUAUCAUUGUUCUGGGCCAUUAGAAACUCACCUGUGACAAUUAGUCUGGUCCCAUUCCCGAAGUUGGGCUGUAGAUACAUAAAGGAAACGAGGCCACAAUAAUAAACCCCUGAGUCAUCUCUCUGUACAUUACGGAUAAUUAGAGAAAACAUGUUUGCCGCAGUGUUCACUUCACUUAAGUAUUUUCCAUCUGACGAUGCAAACUUAGAACUCUGGUAAAUCCACUGGAAACUUCCACUCUGUUCCUUGUACCACAUUACACUCACUUCAUCUUCUAAUGUUUUACAGUGCAGCUGUGCAGUGUCCCCAGAUUUCAGCCACACCUGGGCUGGGCUUUGCAGGAUUUGUAUCUCUUUUUCCGAGACAGUCACUAUACAAGGGAAGAAAGACGUGUUAAUACAGUGAGCACUGGACAAGCCUGGGCUUUUGCAAUACGCUAUAUAGAGCAGAGGGUCCAAGAAUAACACAAAGCACAUAUUUGUUAAAGAUUUAUUUUAAUUUUUCUCUAUUUCUAGCCAUGUAUUUUGUUAGGAUUCAUGUAGCCUGUGUGGGAAUUAAUGCAACGUAACAACAAAAAUCAACCUCAGAGUUCAGACUUCCAGUGCCCUGCCCUAAACCCCAGACUACAAAUGCCCACUCAUGCUUACCCAAAUCAGUGAUAAAAGACCUUCCUUUGACUAAAUUUUACAUGGGAGAGUCAUUUAUUAACUUAGCCAUUUGUGUUUCAAAUUCUAUUUUUGAUCAUUCUGCAGAAAAAUACGUCAGCCUUUGUGUAAUACAUCAGCAUAGAAAAAAAAGUAGAUCCAGGACAUUAUCCAGAACCAGAAACUAUUUUCAAGGAGUUUGUGCCUGGCAUUCUGAUGGUUUUAAAACAGAAUAUUUAAUCACCUCUCAAGAUUUCAGUUGAUGAACUGAAAGAUGUGAAUAUCUCUCCCCCAAGUUGAUGUUAGCAUCUCUUGGAAUUGCAGAAGAUCCUUGUGCAGAAAGUUAAUUGUUUUUAAUGUGGUAGAAAACAAGCGUGAAAUAAAUCAGGCUAAAAUACUUACUUUGCAGGUAGAUUAGAAUCACCCCAACUAUCUGGUGGGACAUCUUGUGCCUUUCUUCAGUAAUGAAUAGGUGAUGCUGUGAGACAGACAGACGCCUGCUAGUUAAUGGAUCUCUUGAUGAAAGACUCUGUCACGUGGAGAGGAAAAUGUUCUAUUUCCUCUUGUAGAUCUGUGGGGCAACAUGCAUGACAGAAAAGGAGGGCCAGGAGGUACUGAGAACCCCAUUCAAAAUCUUACUCUGAGAGCCAACCGGGGGAAGAAUGUUCCUUUGCCUCCAAAAUCUAUUAAAGAAGAAAUUCAAGUUUAGACUGGGGGGUUUCCUGGUCCUGCUCCCUAUCUGUAGGGAAGCAUGCAAUCUGGGCCUAGCAACUCUCAGUCCGGAAAGAGCCAGCCUAGAAAAAGAUGAGCAACAGCCGACAAGAAGCCCCUGUGAAAAGCAUCUGUCACCACAGCACUUCCCCCAGGAGGCGUUCCUCAGCAGAACCGACCAGGAUGUUGGAGCCUUUGCACUUGACCAGCGUACCAGACGGUGGUACGAGUGCAGUUAUUUCUGCACCAACUUCAGCAGUUCUUGUUUGUGAACAUUAAUGAUACAGCGAAGAUCCAGUGCUCUUCCAAAAAAAAAUUUGUAGCAGGACGUAUAACAGCUCAGUGGUACAAGAGACGGGA